CCGCAACAGAUGGGGAAAGUCUGAAGGGAAAACUGAAUGAGGGCUCUUGAUCUGUUCAGCUGGAGAAGAGAAGACUGAGGGGAGAGCUCAGCAGGGACAGCAGCUUCCUUGAGAGGGAAGAGGAGGGGCAGGCACUGAGCUCUGCUGUGACCCAGGAACAGCUGGAGCUGGGCAGAGCAGGGUCUGGCUGGACAUCAAGGAAAGGUUCUGCUUCCCCAGAGUGGUGUUUAAGAUGAGAGAAACCUGACAGCAAGAAGGUGUGUUCCUUCCUAUUGGGAACAGGCUGUGACUUCAUUCCAGGUGUCCCUACCUGCCAGCAGUGUUACAGGGCUGUCUCUGGAUCUCCUGGACUCAAGCCUUGUUCUGAACAGGCAGAAACCAUUGGCACCCUGGAAAGAGUCAGGUGCCAAUUGAGUCAAUGAUCAGAUCUGCUUUCCGCACAAACCCUGUUCUGAAGGCUGAUAUUGGAGGCUAAAUUGGAAGAUCUGAUGCUGAAAAUCAUUUCGUAAGAGAGAUUUGUUUCACGGAUGAUAUAAACGCUGCUGCAAAGCUCUUUGAAGUCACAAGAGUUUUCUGUUGAUGACAAGAAUCUUUGGUCCAAGCCUUUAGAGUCGAGCACACUUGCACCAUUUGUGUAAAGACACAAUAAAUCUGUGUUAAUGGGCAGGUACAAGAACAGAUUAUGUGAUAACUGUGUGGUUUCUCUAUUAAUAUAUUCUCCCAUUACUUUACAUGUUGUUUCAUUAAUCUAAAUCUUCCUUAACACCACUUCUAAUCUAGUCAGCAGGAGCUGCAAUAAUGUCUAAGCACAGAGAAGAAGCAGUCAAGUAUUUGGUUGUUUUAUUAAAUGUCUAUUGCAGUCCUUGAUCAUGAAGGUACCUUAGUUAAAACCAGUCCUUAUUCAAAUAAAUAUUCUGUGGAAAUAUUAUGAAAGCUCUGAUUAAUCUAGCAAUGGAAUGUUUGUUUAAUCAAAGUAUUUCAGAAAUACUUUUACAAAGCCUGAUAAAUUACACUGAAAUCCAAGGUGGUAGCAGCAAUAAAUGAUAGCUACCUAAAUAUUCAAGUCCUUUUAUAAGAGAUGUGUAUACAGAAAAUAAGUAGUUUCUUUUUAAAGCCACUAAAACUGUUAUUCAAUGCAAAUGAAUUAUACAAAGUUCCCAAAUGUGAAACUAAAUUAUUUUAUGAAUAAACAUUUUUAAUCAUGAGGAA